GGCCGAGUGGCGCAACAGGCAGACGCGCUCGUCUCAAAAACGAGGACUUGCGGGUUCGACUCCCGCCUCGGCCA
rnacentral:tRNA from 1 species